rnacentral:rRNA from 1 species
AUGCCUUCCCUGCUCCUCCUUCUCCUCGCCGUCCUGCUCCUCUUCGCCGCGGCCAACGGGUACCCACCCACCUGUGGCAACGCCACCUGCGGCGGCCUGACCAUCGCCUACCCGUUCUGGCUCAACUCGUCCUCGGCCUCCAGCUGCGGCUACCGCGGCCUCGGCCUUGCCUGCGAGGACAACACCACCCUGAUCCUCCCCGCCCAGUCCCACCACCGGUACAAAGUCUCGGGCAUCGACUACGACACGCACUCCGUCUUCCUCGUCGAUGACGUUGAGGCCGAAGCCCUCAACACGACCAACUGCCCGCACCUCCACUUCAACUUCACCAUCGACGCCGGCUCCGCGCUGCAGCUCACGCAGUCGGACUCCAACAUCACCUUCUUCUACAACUGCAAGAAGAACGCCUCAUGA